GAAGCAGCCGGGCACCUGGCCGCGUGCGGCCGGAGGCUGCGAGCGCCCGGGAUUGAGGUGCAAUCUCUAGGUUGGACCCUGGGCCACCUAUCCAAGCCCCCUGAUAUCUGUGGUCCUCCAUCCAUCUGGGCCAGUGACCCGCUGCUCAGGGUGCUGUUCACACUUGUUCCUUGGCACCCUGGGACGUGUGGCGUUUGUGGAGAAUUCCGCCAGUAGACACCUCGGUCUUCUGAUCCUCCGCGGCGGCUUCGGUGACCAAAGACUGAUAGGAAUGGGUGAAUAGGGAGUGGCUUCGAAAUCACCAACAGGCAACAUUCCCUAGGAGCAAAGUCUAGGAGCCUGGGUUCCACUGCAGGACGUCACACCAUGAAAAAUACCUGACUUCUAAAGGAGGCAGGUUGCAGCCUGCCUGGCCUGCAACAGGCCUGAUAAUGAACCAGUGUUCUUUCAACUUCGGAACCAUGCUCUGCAUUCAGGUGCUGGUGACACUUGAACAGAACGAUGGGCUCAAAUCCACUCACCUGGCUGCUCUGUGAAGUUCUCUGCCUAUAAGCCCAGCUGAAGGUGUCCUUGGUGUGACCUUCAGCCCUGAUGGUGUUUUGGAGAGUGGCAGACCAAAGCCAGAGCACGGAGCUGGACCCAUUGAUAGCAAGAGUGGCCUACGACUCCCUAGUGUACUUCUCCUCCUUAAACUGGAAAGAAGAGAAACAGUCAAGGCAUGGAUCUCACAGUCCAGAUUGGAGCCAACAAACCUCUGCUGGUCAAAUGAAGCCACAAAGCAGACAAGGAAACUGAGGCUCAAGGACAUUACCUAACAUCUGCAAGGCCACAAAUUGAGAAAACUGGAAAUCAGGUCUAUCCUGUGCUACAUAAGAAUAAGUAGUUGCAAUACAGGCUGAGAGAGGCUGCUGGGCCAUGGUGACCUAACAUGGUCGGAGCUGGGGGAACAUAUUUGCGAUUGCAUCUCACCAUCCCUCCAACCUCCUGCUGUCGCUUUCCAUUGACAAACACAACAGGAAGCCAAGAACAAGGAAGCAGGAAAGCCAGAGGACAAAGUGCGAGCAACGAUGGAGAAGAUGCAGUAACACUGCAGUAAGUGCCAGAAAAGAAAUGUGAGGUUUCACGAAGUGAAAAUUGCUUUUCCUUCCAUCCAGCUCAUGCCUGCCCUGUGCAGGGGCUUCUUAGACAGCUGUGAAGGACUGCAAGUGAUAGUUACAAAUAUAACCAAGUAGCUGUGAACGUGGAUUUGUGGCCAUGUUGCUCUGGGAAUUGGAACCCAGCAAUGAAUGUGACCACAGCAAUUGACUUCAAGUCUUUCUCACCUCCUGUAAGUGGGAAACAAAGUAAUGCUACCCACCCGAUGGGGUUGUAAGGAUUCAACUGGAGAAUUUUUGUGAAAUGCUUGGCCCAGACUCUAUAGUCAUUAAGAAUUCUGUUGAUUACAAGCUACAAUAAUUAUAUGCUGACUUCUAAAAAUAAGCUCAAAAUUUUAAAUGUGGUAUAAAACCAUAAAAUUUACCAUUUUAAAAUUUACAAUUCAGUAGUGUUCAGUAUGUUCACAUUGUUGUAAAACAGAAUUCAGAACUUUUUCAUCCUGUAAACUGAGACUUCAUUUUAAAAGAAUAGUUUUAAAUUUACAGGAAAAUUGAAAAGACAGUACAGAGAAUUCUCAUAUGCCCAUCACCCAAUUCCCUCACAUUAACAUCAUGUGGUAUAUUUGCUGUAACUAUUGUUUGCUAAAGCCAAUACUUUAUCCAGAUUUUCUUAGGUUUCCUUUAGCUUUUCUGUUCUAAGAUCCUAUCCAGUGUUCAGCAUGUCACCUAGUUGUCGUGUCUCUUCAGCUUCCCCUUGGAUGUGACAGUUUCUCAGACUCCUCAUUUUUGAUAACCUGGACCGUUUUGAGAAGAACCUGUGAGAAUGAAAGCUUUUGGUUUUAAUAAAGUCCAUCUCAUGAAUAUUUUCUUUCACGGACAAUGAUUAGAUGAUUUUACAACUAGAAACUCACCAUUAAACACAAGUUCACAUUGCUUCACAGCUUUGCUGUUUUCUGGCAGUUUUAUAGUUUUGUAUUUUAUAUGUAACAUGUAGAAAGCUGUACUUCUGUGUAAUUGCACUUACAGCUUCAUUAUAGCACUUGCAAUCUCAUGUUGAAGAUGUGGAGAGAAGAGAACCUUUAUAGGUUUGUAGCAGGACUGCAAUUAGUGCAAUUAAUGCAGCCAUUGAUGCAUCAAUUAGUGCAGCCAUUAAUGAAAGCAUGAAGGUUUCUCAAAAAAACUUAAACAUAGACCUAGCAUAUGAUCCAGUGCUAGCUCUACAGUAUAUCCGAAAGAAAUGGAAUCGGUAUGGCAAGGAGGCAACUGCACACACACAUCCAUUGCAGCACUAAUCAUGAUACGCAAGUUGGAGAAUCAACCUGUGUUCAUCAAGAGACAGGUAAAGAAAAUGGGCCCAUGUGUGCACAGUGGAAUAUGGUCUGGCUUCCACAGAGAAGAAAACCCGGGCAUUUGCAGGAACGUGGAAGGAAUUGGAUGACCUUAUGUUAAGUGAAAUAAGCCAGGCACAGAGAGACAAGUACCACACCAUCUCAUUUCUCUGUGGACUCUGAAAAUGUCAAACUCGAGGAAGCAGAGCGGAGUGACAGUUAACAGUCAUGGAAGUGGACGUGGGAGCAGGACUGGGGAGACGUCUGUCAAAGGGUGCAAAAUUUCUGUUAGAUGGAAGGAGUGAGUUCAAAAAAUCUGCUGUGGAACAUGGUGAGGACAGCUGAUAACAAUGUGUUGUAUCCUAAGAGCAGUGCAGAUUUUAACUAUUCUCACCCAAAUAAUGGAUAAGUAUGUAAAAUAAUGCAUUUGCAAUUAGUUUGAUUUAGCCACUACACAGUGAAUAUAUAUUUCAGAACCUAUGGUAGAUACCAUAAAUAUAAUACAUUCUUUCAAUUUAAAAAUAAUUUAAAAGAAAAUCUUUGUAUAUUAAGAUAAAAAUAUAUUAAAAACUUUGUUGUAUUAUUAAAUAAAAUAUUUUUGUCUUUAUG
rnacentral:lncRNA from 1 species